UACUCUCCUUCUCCAAAGGUUUA
rnacentral:snRNA from 1 species